rfam:Candidatus Woesebacteria bacterium RIFCSPLOWO2_01_FTLL_39_21 rifcsplowo2_01_scaffold_361, whole genome shotgun sequence.
UCUGGAGGAAGGGCAAUCGGGCCGCGGAGCCUCGGCGAAGUGGUCAGGAAAGUCCAGGCAGCUCAAGGCAGGAGACGAGGUGUAAACCUUGACGGGUAACCGCUGGUUAGAGCAACAGAGACUACAACUCACCCCUAACCUAAAAGGUUUGGGGAAGAGGGUGAAAAGGGCAAUCCCCUCCGCUGCAACCUCCGAAUGGGGCGCUGAAGGUAAGCCUUGCCGAGCCCCGAAGUUUGAGGGCAUAGAUUGAUGGUUGCCGAAAAACAGAACCUGGCUUACUCGCCUCCGGAGCAC